rnacentral:rRNA from 2 species
UGGGGAAUAUUGCACAAUGGGGGAAACCCUGAUGCAGCGACGCCGCGUGGAGGAAGAAGGUCUUCGGAUUGUAAACUCCUGUUGUUGGGGAAAAAGAGGAUGGUACCCAACAAGGAAGUGACGGCUAACUACGUGCCAGCAGCCGCGGUAAAACGUAGGUCACGAGCGUUGUCCGGAAUUACUGGGUGUAAAGGGAGCGCAGGCGGGUAUGCAAGUUGGGAGUGAAAUACAUGGGCUCAACCCAUGAACUGCUCUCAAAACUGUGUAUCUUGAGUAGUGCAGAGGUAGGCGGAAUUCCCGGUGUAGCGGUGGAAUGCGUAGAUAUCGGGAGGAACACCAGUGGCGAAGGCGGCCUACUGGGCACCAACUGACGCUGAGGCUCGAAAGUGUGGGUAGCAAACA